UUACGGUCAAAUCACGCUGAAACACCGGUUCUCGUUCGAUCACCGAAGUUAAGCAUUGUAGAGCCAGGUCAGUACUUAGAUGGGGACCGCUUGGGGAACACCUGGUACUAUA
rnacentral:rRNA from 1 species